AUGUUUUAUAGGCACUACUGAACAGACAUUUAGAAGUUGAUUUUAAAAUGAAAAGUAUUGAAAAUAAACAUAAAACUCUGCAAUCACUUGCAUUUUUGCAACACUGUAAGUGUGACCCAUCAGGUAAUUAAAAGUUCUACACACAUUUGUGGUCUUCAUGCUGACUUGAACACUUGGACCAAAUACAGGAAACAUGUCAUAUAAAAGUAGUUAAGUGGUCAAGUGCAAAGACUGCAAGUGCGGAUAUUUGGACAAGGCAUCUGGAGGUCUCUGGCCCGUCCAGGAGCUAAGUUUAAUAAGCUUUUUUACCCUUGUAGUUUAGGGUGUAGAUAUUGACAAAUGUAUAUCUUUCAUUUUUUUUUCCUGUUUUUUUUUUUUUCUUAGUGAUAGUCCAACAUCACCCGCAAUGAGUGUGGAAAAACCAAACUAUGUUUGGACAACCCUAAAGGAUGUGAUCCUUCAGGUAAUUCUCAGUGUUUCUUCACCUCAGUACAGAUUAUUUUAACUAUCUUAAAUCUGAAGGUUGAGCUCAGUGGCAACUCCAUCGGUUACAUUGCAUUAGCAGCUGGAGUGACAUCUAAUGUGGCUCAGAGCAUCAAUAUCAUCUUUGUCUGUGGCAAUAAUAAUGGCAGGUUCUUCUUCCGGACUGCAACACUCAUAAAUAACACACUGCUGAUAACAAAUAUACCCAAUAUAAACAAUAUGCAGGGUUCGAUACCACCAAGCUUGAUUCAGUGUGUUUUCAGCAUCCCCUUUGAUGCAAACGCCAUCAACUUCCUAAGCAAUGUCAAUGUCACAAAUGUCAACAUUAGCAACAUUGCUAAUUCCCAGCUGAAUGUUUUCCGUGACAACCUACAAGGGUUCAACCAAUGGAACUGUUCUAGGAGAACCAAGAAGUGUACUUGGGUCCUCUGUUCCAGUGAAUCUAGCUAAUGUCAACUCUACUAAUGUUGUAAGCCCCAUAGCUAAUUCAAAAGACAGCAUCUCACUCAACAGCUUACUGAGUCAUGCUGCAAUUUGCCUUCUCAGUAUCUUCUGGCAUCUGAUCUGAGGGGCCUGAGAGAGAUCUGAAGACUAAUUGUCCUGUGGGUGGAGUAGUAUAGAUAUGCACUAGCAUCAGCAUGUUUUGCUAAAGUAUUCAUACCUCUACUGGUGUCUUUCUUUAUUUGAUUCUUAGAUUAUUUGCAAACAUAUAGGAAACCCAUGUAUGUUUGACAUACAGGGUGUUGGACAUGUAAAUAAAGCCCAUAUAUUUACAUAUACAUAUAUAAAGCCCAAGCACAUGUAUAAUCCUUUUUUUUUUUAAUUGUGGUCUUUUAAUGAUCCUCUGACAUUAUACUGACAGUGGAAAUGAUCCUGAAAACUUUUUGAAGUUACAUUAAAAG